ensembl:snRNA U6 U6 spliceosomal RNA
GUGCUUGCUUCGGCAGCACAUAUACUAAAAUUGGAACGCUACAGAGAAGAUUAGCAUGGCCCCCGCAUGAGGAUGACAUGCAAAUCUGUGAAGCAUUCCAUUUUUAA